rnacentral:lncRNA from 1 species
AUUCUAUGAGCUUAAUUGAAGCUUUUGCUAGGAUUAUUUCUAGUUGAGCAUGACGACAUGCAGGUUUAGUUUUGUUGCUUGCUUGAUGUGUGCUUAAGGAUAGCGGGAGCUUCCCCUCUUUAUCCGUUUCGAUGUCUUAGAUUAGGCUCUGAUCUAGGAUGUCAGUUGUUAUCUUUAAUUGGUUGUGUUGUUGAGAUUUUACCCAUUUGUCGGGAU